UGGAUGUUGCUCUUCAGUUGCAGCCCUAGGUGCUGAUGUGCAAGAUGGCUGGACCAUUCUCCCUCCUAUAAUCCACAAAUGCAGGUUGUACAAUCAGUGGUAUCUGGUUGCCUCACCAUUGGCCCUUCUCCAGCAAUGGUCCCAACAGCCUAUGGGAGUGAGAGGAAGCCAAGGAGCUUGCUGCUGCUCUGAAGUAUGAAGUAUAAGGUUAGUCUGCAAUCAAUCGGCUGAACAAGAAGAACCGUAACUUAAGUUUUUAGAAUCAUUCUUCUAUACCACUGGAUGGAUGUUAACUGCUUUGAAUGAGACUGCACCUCCUCUGAAAGAACAAAUGAACAUCUGGGAGUGAUUUUAGAAGUAUCACUAUCUACUUUCAAGAAGUACUUCUUCCAGCAAAUGGAAGCUGACCAUCUAAAUAGUUGCUGCAAAAAGAUCACUGACUACAAACAAUGGCAUGACAAAAUAGCAACAACAGUGCACUGGAAUAUUUGCAAGGAAUAACAUUCACCUUCAAGCUAGAACCGAUAGGACCACAAAAUAGACAAAGUAAUAAAAAAUGAAAAAGCUAAA